rnacentral:rRNA from 1 species
AGGACGAACGCUGGCGGCGUGCUUAACACAUGCAAGUCGAGCGGAAAGGCCCUUCGGGGUACUCGAGCGGCGAACGGGUGAGUAACACGUGAGUAAUCUGCCCCUAGCUCUGGGAUAGCUCCGGGAAACCGGGAUUAAUACCAGAUACGACCACUUUAGACAUCUGUUGUGGUGGAAAGAAUUUCGGCUAGGGAUGAGCUCGCGGCCUAUCAGCUUGUUGGUGAGGUAACGGCUCACCAAGGCGACGACGGGUAGCCGGCCUGAGAGGGCGACCGGCCACACUGGGACUGAGACACGGCCCAGACUCCUACGGGAGGCAGCAGUGGGGAAUAUUGCGCAAUGGGCGAAAGCCUGACGCAGCGACGCCGCGUGGGGGAUGAAGGCCUUCGGGUUGUAAACCCCUUUCAGCAGGGACGAAGCGAAAGUGACGGUACUGCAGAGAAGCGCCGGCUAACUACGCGCCAGCAGCCGC